rnacentral:lncRNA from 1 species
GAUACUUUAACUUUGAGUGCCAAUAAUUCCUUUAUUAAAACUCCAAAUCACAUAAAAUUUGCAUCCAAUUUGUACCCAAAAUCAUAAAUUUGCUGAUCCUAGCCUCUGAAGCUCGAAUGACUUCAAAAGAGGAAUCUUAAUCCCUAAUAAGGCCUCAGACAGCUUCCUUGAAGCCUAUUGGAUAUGGCCUUCGACCAAAAGAAAUGAAGAUCUCUAUUCAUUACCUUCAAUUAACCAUGCCUUAUUUUUAUUCCUCCCAAUAAGCCUCCUACUAGUUAAGA